CACUUUUUUUGGCCAAAACAAAUGUACAGUUUUUGUAGUAAUAACAUGCAAAUUUGAUUUGCACGAAACUUUUUUUGUGAAGGUUAUCAGAAAAUUUUAAGAAAAAAACUAGGGUUCCAAAAAUAAACAAUUCUGUAUGAAUUCUAUCUCGUUUUUAUAUUCACAAGUCUUUCUAUUUUCUCCCUAAUAAUAAAGCAGGUAAAAAGGUGUUCUUUUUUGGGUCGGGAAAAUCCAAACAUGAUUAAACAUCCUAUUCCUUCAUCUCCAUUUUCUGCUUAGGUCGAUUUGAUAGAGAACUCUGUCCUCUAAUAUAUAACCCAAUUCGAAAAUUUACAUUAUUUGUGCAAAAAGACUUGUCUUUUUCCCAGCUGUGAACCCUCUUGUUCUUCACCUAAUUGGUUGCCUUGUUGUAUCAUUCGACCCAAUUGUUCUUUUUUUUUUUCGUUUUGCCCUUUUGGUGAUAUAUACCAAACACAUUGGAUCGAGACCCACCUUUUUUUUUAAAAAAAAAAUUACUAAAGAUUUCAUUUUUUCGAUCCAUCAACAGUGUUCGCGGGCAGAUGUAUCUUUGUUGAAUUCAGGUUCAAUUAGUUGUACAAGUUGCUGUAUUUCCUCUUGGAUGAACGAAAAGCCAAAUGUUUGUGUGUGUAUGUUGGAAAUAGGAGUUCUUUGAGUGAUGUUGUAGUUUUUGCAGUAACCGGAAAUGAGCAGAUCUGCAUCAUUUUUGGUGAGAUCAGAAGCUGAUUUAAAUGUAGAUGAAAAAUCUCUACAGCAAUGGGUUGUUGGCUUCUGUAUUAUUAGGUUUGAUCUUGAGCAGGGACAGCUUAUUGAAGAAUGUUAUCCAGCGGGCUGUCUAACUCAUAAUGAGGAGCUUGAAGUUGCCUUUAGCUCAUUUCCGGAUUCGGUUUCUCAGAAUCAUAACCGCUCAAGCAUCCAUGACUGUAUCUUUUUCUUCCGUGUCCGAAGGCAGGGGAAUCCUCAAGUGGCACAUCUGCCUUCAUCCGAGAUAGUGGAAGUAAAUAAUACACAAGCAUCCCAAAUGACAGCCAGUGAUAAGGUGCUUAAACAAAGGAGUAAAAUUCAAACAGGGGUGAACUCAAGAUAUUUGUACGGGUUUGUGUUUAAUAGACAGAGACACGAUGAAAGGCUAAAACGGGGUGGUGAGCAAAAAUCCGUGGUAAUUCUUUCUCACAACCCAUUCUCUAGUGUUUUUCGACCUUUGCUGCAGAUCAUGGGCCCAUUGUACUUUGACAUUGGGAAGAAAGCCCUCAAUUUCAUUGCUUCUUAUGUAUCAAUGUGGCCUGUUCCUGUACCUGGUCAGUUAAUGGAGCUUCCAAUUGGAAAUGCUACUCUUAAAGUGAACUUGCCACCUGCCCAUUGUAUGCCUUUGGAUUGUGGAGUACUUUUUGAGGAGUUGGCUUCUCCAAUAGCCCCAUUUCUUCCUUCCAGUCAAUCAGUUCCACAAGGUCUUUUCCAUGAUGCAGAUCUUUUUGGGACAUUUAGGGGGCUUUUAAUGCAGCUUUGGAAGUUAUGGGAAUUGUUACUUAUUGGAGAACCCAUUCUUAUCAUAGCGCCAACACCACCUCAGUGCUGUGAAGCUGUUGCUGGUCUGGUUAGUCUGGUCGCUCCGCUUCUGUGUAGCAUUGAUUUCAGGCCUUAUUUUACUAUUCAUGAUCCCGAUUUUGCUCAUUUAAACUCCCUUCAAGAAGGUGCUGCUUUUCCUCCAAUGAUUUUGGGUGUGACAAACCUCUUUUUCUUGAAAUCCCUUCGAAGAAUUCCACACGUCUUAUCAGUUGGAAAUCCUGUCAUGAAUGCAGCUCGACUUCCAUUUUCUGCUAGAGCUUCAACCGGUAGAAUUCCGGCUGGACCUGAAGGACUUAGUCUUCCCAGUCUUUCCUUGAAUAGGUUUACACCAUCAAAUUUUUUGAAUGCUAUGAAGUUGAGGAGAGAUGGUCCACUCUGCCUGAUGACUGAGCACAAAGAAGCCUUUUGGAGCAGUUAUGCUCCAAUUACAAAACCAGACACUUCAAUCUUGAAUAGGCUAAUUGAUGCAGGUAUGUCACCCAGGGUAGAGGAAUCAAUGUCAGUUGUUAAUAACGACAUACUUCGUCGGCACUUCUUAGAGCUGACAACCAACUUCUUGGCCCCAUUCGGCCCGUAUUAUAGACCAACAACACCUUCUGAAGGAUCUUCCCCGUAUGUUGAUCCUCCUCCGCUACCCACAUUUAAUGCCGAGGACUUCCUCACUAGCUUGUCAGCAAGGGGUCCUGGGAAGUUUCUGUUGAAGAGGAUGAAAUCCAACUGGCUGGACCUUUACAGACGGUUUCUGAAAGGGCACAACUUUUUGCCGUGGUUUCAACGAAAGCGUGCUGUUGCUGAACAAGAACAGUAUAGGCUGUGGAGGCAAGCUAGAAUGAGGGCUGACAUACAACAUUUUAUAUCUAAAAUGUCUGAGUUGGAGAUAGUUGAUACUUUCAAUGCAAUUGAAAGGCAUCUUCUUGGAGAGUUACAGAUGAAACUCAUUUACAUGGCAAAGAGCAACAUGUCGAUAGAAAAUCCCAUAAUGAAACCGGUCACUGAACUAGGAGGAGAAACAACUCAGCUGUAAAUACCAGCGUGUGACCUUGCCAUUUCUUAAGGCUACUAUAUUAUUUGAUUGCCGGUGCAGAAUAUAUUCAAACAUGACUUAAAUCCCGUCAUAGCAUCUUUCCAUUAUCUCAUCUUCAGUCCACCACUCUUGAAGAAGGUUCUGAUGUCACUAGCAGCAAACUAAGGGAGGAUCUUCAGGCAGUGUUUCAUGUCCUCCCAAAGGACAUGCAACAGCUUAUGCUAAUGAAUCCUGAGAGGGCAGCACUUGUACGAGAUGAUGAGCUUCCCUCUAUAUCAACCAGAUGACAAGAGCUUAUGAGCCUAAGAUUUAAUCAGACAGCUGAGUUGAGAGUUCUAUCGUGUCACCAGAAGAUGUAGAAUCAGUCAUGUCCUCUUCUUCGCUGUAAAUUCUUGCAGGAGCUGAACUUCUCAAUGAUCUGCUGCAAGGUCAGUUAAAUCUUGCCUCAGAUUUCCAUUUUGCAUUCAUGAGAUAAGUUGAUUGCAAACAUGAUACUAAUCUUUCCUCCAGAUUACUUUGGCAAAGAACUAUUAUCUGUUGAAGCUGUUCCGGUGUACUGAGAUCACAUUCUUCUUCUGAAUUGGUAUUUGAAUUUUUCCAGAGAUUCUUAUAUGGUGUUUCGGAAUGGAUAGAUGUCUGUUUAACUUACUAUUGAAAGGGAAAACAAUUUCCAGAUAUAAGAGAAACAAGUUAUGAGCCUUUGUGUUGUAAAACUCCAGCUUUUUUCUAUUUUAUUCUUUCUCAAUGAUGGUGUCCCUCUUUGGUUUCUGUUUCCUCUCAAGGACAUCAAUGUCAUAUGACGCAUGAUUAGACAAGUCAUGCUGUAAAUGGAAUAUCAGUGUUUGCAUUUCGUUAAAACACGGGAUGUAGAACCCGUAUAAAACAUGUCAAAGGAUGCUUUUACUUGGCUAAA